ensembl:lncRNA
GGCGCAGCUGCGCUGCUCCUUGCAUUCGCUCAGCCCGCAGGGCAGGUUGCAGCCUCUCUGCGCAUGGCCAGCUGCCGCCAUCUUGGAUUAAGCUGUCGUUCGCAGUGUCUCUGCACACUGCCCGAGCGGCGUCAGGCGCAGCCAUUUUUCAGGAGGAACUCUUGGUCUGAAGGGCCUGUUUGAGGCCACUGCAUGGAACACCCUUGAGCAAGUGAAACUAGAUUAAUCACAAAGGACAAGAAGACUGUCAUUUCCAGGAGGAUGGAGACUAUCUUCUUUCUGUAUUCCUGGAACAUAGAAUAGCAUAGUUUCCAGUAUAAAAAGUGUCAGAUGGUCUAAAAGAAAACAGAAAAUGUCAGCUGUAUUCAUGGAGACAAUGACCAAGCAUGAGUGGUAAAGAAUCCAUUUGGCAAUGCAGAAGAUGCAAGAGACAUGGAUUUGAUCCCUGGGUCAGGAAGAUCCCCUGGAAUAGGAAAUGGCAACCUGCUCCAGUAUUUUGGCCUGGAGAAUUCCAUGGACAGAGGUGUCUGGUGACAGAUUGUCUGAAAAGAAGCAAGUAUCCUACAAUGAAAAGAACUACCCUAUGGAGCAUAUACUUCUGCUUGAGGCAAAUGUGUUUAAAACCGUAAGAAAACAAAAACUGCAAAUCUGUCUCCUUAUGUGUGGAACCAAAGCUAGAAAUGUGUGCUCUAGAGGCAACUGUAAAAUCAUAUUUCAAUCUGGCAUAUGGGCCAGUGAUUGUGUUGUGUGAGUAAUGCAUACAUGUAAUCCAUGUGGCAAGCUUUGUGGACUGAGAAAAAGUCAGUGUUGUUCACUGAGGCUUGGCAAGCAGGAACCAUUUAUUUUGAAAAAUCUACAUGGGCUGAAACAAUGUGAAAAAUGUACUGUCCAUUUUGUCAGCUUGUGAACAUAGCAAAAGCCACAGCACUCCCUUCAGCACAAAGACAAGGGGGGAAAAAUCCCUUUUUGCUGUUUUACACUUAUAGAAGAAUGAUGGCUCUUGUACAACAAGGGAAUUAAUGCUGAAUGCAUACUAUCUUUCACAAGUCAAGUCCAAAUGAACCAGAGAUAAAAAAAAACAAUGCAGUACACUAAGUGGAGAGCCAAAAACUGCAUUUAUUUUAUUGUCGUGAUGUACAGAUCAGUUUUUAAUUGCUUUUAGUUAUGGAUUCUUGAGUUUUAAAGCAAUUAUAAAAUAUCUUCACUAAGUUCAUAGUGCUCCAGAGAGGAAAAAAAAAUGAAGAUAAAUGGACUUGGAAGACCCCACUAAUUUUUGUCAAUAACAAGAUAUCAUUUAGGCAUUAAUUUUUUUGAUUCAAAGGCAUUAAACAAUUUUUUUCAGGCCAUACAGGGGCCUCAGAAGUACUCUAAAGCCGGCAGGGGA